rnacentral:rRNA from 1 species
UACGUAGGGGGCAAGCGUUGUCCGGAAUCAUUGGGCGUAAAGCGCGCGUAGGCGGCCCUGUAAGUCCGCUGUGAAAGUCAAAGGCUCAACCUUUGAAAGCCGGUGGAUACUGCAGGGCUAGAGUCCGGAAGAGGCGAGUGGAAUUCCUGGUGUAGCGGUGGAAUGCGCAGAUAUCAGGAGGAACACCGAUGGCGAAGGCAGGUCUCUGGACAGUUACUGACGCUGAGGCACGAAGGCCAGGGGAGCAAACGGG